rnacentral:lncRNA from 1 species
UGAAACAUGCUUGCUGAAGUCGUGGAAGGCCUUGCCUGGGGUUGGAACGAAAAAUCUAGGUAGUUUUUAUCUUCCCUUUUGACAUCCUGCUGGUUGCUGUUCGAAUUACUCCUCCAAUUGAAGCCCUGAGAUGGAAAAGUUCCUGUUGUCGGAGAAGGCAGAAUCUGCAUACAAACACAAAUACCCAUAAAUUAAAUUCCACAAGAAACCCCCAGACAUGGACCAAACCAACACCCGAUAAGCUAAAAUCCUUCGAAGAGAUUCAAAAAGAUGGAACAACCUCGGGUCUAUGUCCUAAUUCCCCGUUUGGUUGCCAAGAAAAUGAUUGAACUAAGCUCAACAGAGUCAAGCUCUCUGUUCCCACCACAAAAACAUGAAAACAAAGGAAGAAGAAAUACACAUACGUUAGAAGUGGAGAGAAGCACAGGCGAGUCGAGAAGUUCAGCUGGGCUCAACCCUGCAGGAAUAGAAAAGUAAGAAGAAGGAGAGAUCGGAGGCGGGGAGAUGGGCAGCGAAGGCGGAGGAAUUGACUUGAACUUCGGCACUCCGGACCCCGUCCUCUCUGCAAUUCGAUCCGAAAGCCCCCUCCCCACGGCACCCUUGUCACCAGUGGUGGUGGUGACGGGAUCCUCGUCGGCGGACGUGAGGAGGUCGGAGUAGGAAGUGGACAUGAAAGAGGAGAAAGAGAAAAGGGGAUGCGAGUUUGCAGAGGUCUCUAAGCUCCCAGAGGAAGAACCCAUGUGAAAGGGAGAAGCUAUUGUGGUGGAGGAGAGGUGUAAAUACAAAUGUAAGAGACCAAGGCCCAGAAGAAGAAGAAGAUGGUGAUGGUGAUGAUGAUGUCAAAGUUUUCACGUAUUGGAC